rnacentral:rRNA from 1 species
GAUGAACGCUGGCGGCGUGCUUAACACAUGCAAGUCGAACGGUGAAGGCGGAGCUUGCUCUGCUGGAUCAGUGGCGAACGGGUGAGUAACACGUGAGCAAUCUGCCCCUGACUCUGGGAUAAGCGCUGGAAACGGCGUCUAAUACUGGAUACGAGCUGCGAAGGCAUCUUCAGCAGCUGGAAAGAAUUUCGGUCAGGGAUGAGCUCGCGGCCUAUCAGCUUGUUGGUGAGGUAAUGGCUCACCAAGGCGUCGACGGGUAGCCGGCCUGAGAGGGUGACCGGCCACACUGGGACUGAGACACGGCCCAGACUCCUACGGGAGGCAGCAGUGGGGAAUAUUGCACGAUGGGCGAAAGCCUGAUGCAGCAACGCCGCGUGAGGGACGACGGCCUUCGGGUUGUAAACCUCUUUUAGCAGGGAAGAAGCGAAAGUGACGGUACCUGCAGAAAAAGCGCCGGCUAACUACGUG